CCCCCCCCCUGAAAUCAACUAGGGUUUACUAAAAAUAAAUUCAAUGAACCUGAAAUGCCCUUCAAAAAUGUUCACCCUCUUUGCCUUGGGUUAGAACCCUUGGGAAAAAUGGUGCAUAUAAUUUUAGGUCAACAAAAGGGGCAUUGAUUUAAUUCAUAAAUAUUUGAAUUUGGGCAUUUAAAUACUAUUAAAUAAUUCAAAUGCUCAAAUAAUGUUGGAACUAUUUUUUGGGCCACUGAAAUAUUUCAGUAAGUGUCCAUAAAUAUUUUCAGGAUUUUAUAAAAUGAUUUAGUAUUUAAACUAAAUCAAAACAGAAUAACAGAAAUAGAAAAACACAAAAAAAUAAAGAGGGAAAGGCCAUGGGCCACUUACCUGGCCCAUCUCCAGCUGGCGGCCCAGCCCACCCCGCUGCCUCCUGUCGUUCCCCUCCUCGGACAGAAGGACGCGGGCGUGUGCCCGGCGCUCGCCGGCACGCGCGCGCGCCACCUCCCCCCCUGCGCGCCACCUCCUGCUUCCGGGCUCCCUCCCAAUGCCACGGAGACGGCCACGCACCCCCUGGCCCUCUCAUUCCCCUCCCCCAUGCUCAUCCCCUCCUCUGUCUCUCCCCCUCUCUUCCACAGAACGCGGCCGUCGCCGCCGACGAGAACCACCACGGCCACAGCCACCCCAUCGCCCCUCGGUUGUGCCCAAGAGCUCCGCCACAUUGCCGGCUACCUCUCCGUCAAGUCACGCGCCUCGGGAAGCCCUACGGCGUCGCCUUCGAGCUCUUCCUCAACCUGCGGCCGCCGGCGACUUCAUCGUUGAUUCGCCGAACCCCGUGCCUUCCCUGCCUCGCCAGUAGCACCAGAAGAACCACGGUGAGCCAUUGACCCGGUUCCCCCUUGCCCCGUCGUCCCUCGCGUCCUCUAGCGCUAGAACCACCGCGCCUGCGAGCUCCUCGCCGCCGGCCAUGGCGCCACCAUGGCCAGGGGCCGAGCCAGCCGCACCCGCACACGUCGUCGUGUUCCUGGUGACGCCAGGAGCCCGUAGAACCUAUCCGCAUGCCUCCCCGUGCCUUAUAGCCUCGAACCCGAGCUCGCCCGAGCUCCGGCCGCCACCUCGAGCCUGAUUCCGGCGAGCUCUGGCCGCCCCGCAGCCUCCCGUGUGUCCCACUGGAUUCGCGCGAGUCUGGGCAUCGUGUAGAUGAGCUCCACCGCCCGAAUGGUCGCCGGAGCGGCGAUCCCGAGCCCCUCCGCCGUGUCUGGCUCGCCGGCGUCAAGCCGCCGACGGGUGUUGACCCCGCUGACCAGGAGGUUUGACCUCCCGUGGGUCGCUGACAUGUGGGGCCCGGCCCUAUUAAUCUUUAGUUAGGAUUAGUUUAACAACUAAUUUAACCCUUCUAAUUAAAUGGGUCACUGACGCGUGGGCCCAACCCCAUUAACCAAGCCAGUUUAGUUUUAAUUUAAUUAGGAUUAGCUACAGACACUGACGUGUGGACCCCACACGUCAGGUUUGACUGGGUCAGCCGCCUUUGACCUGCUGACGCAAUGCUGUUGUCAUGCUGACGCAAUAUAUCUUUUCUGGAAUUAAAAUAACUCAGGAAAUUCCAGAAAAUACCCAAAACUUUGAAAAAUCAUAGAAAUUCAACCAUAGCUCCAAAUGAGAUAAAUUAUAUAUGUAAAAUUAUCAGAAAAAUUCAAGGAAUCCAUCUGUACCAUUUUCAUGCAUGUUUGAACAAUGUUUGUCCCCUGUUUUGGACAAAACAAAUAAAGGGCAUUUAAAUAAUCAUAUAUGGGGUUGGAAUUUGAAUCUUGUACUCAAACCAACUCCAUUUAAAUUAUAGCUAGUUGCAUUAGCUCAAGACACAUCCAUAUUGCCAUGUCAUAGCAUGCAUCAUAUUGUUGCAUAUCGUCAUGUGUUGAUUGUGCUCGGUUGUGUUCUUCGUGGUAGGUUCUGCCUCCGAGGAUAUUCACGAGUAUCCAACUGAAGGGCAGUAUCCCGUUACCACUCCAUCAGGCAAGCAACCAUUGAUCAUUCUGAUACAACCCAUGUUCUCGCUCCUGCUCUUGUUUACUGCAUUAAGACAACACGAUUCAAACUGCUGUGUGCUACGGUAGUUGAACCCUUAUCCUCUGCAUGACCUGUCAUUGCCACAGUAACUAGAUGAAACCCUCUAGCAUGUGCAGGAGUUGAUUGAGCCAUCUUUUGUGAUUCCUACCUUGCUAUGCCUGCUAUGCUUAGAGUUGUGUCAGGUCUGGUUCAUCUGGGUGAUGGGCUAGAGUGAAAUGCUUGUGCCAGUAAUAUGUGGGAUGUGUUGAACAUGUUUUGGUAAAGGUAUCGAUGAGAGGCCAUGUAGGAGUACAUGGUGGGUUGUUUCAUUGAAGCCGUCCCUAAGAACUGAGUUCUGUAUGCGUGAAUUAAGAUUCAGCUACUACCACACAUUGGGCCCUGAAAUAUGACCCCGCUCGACUUACUGACCCCUCUCGCCUCAGUCCAGGAGUUGCAACUAGUUUCUGGUGUUUGUAGGAUAUGUGUUGGCGGCCGUGCGUAGCGCUGACCCUAGGGGUGGGCUAUGUUGCGGUAGAUACACCGUGGCACGGUGUACCGAGUCACCCGUUUGGUGUCUCGGGAACCCUGUUCACAUCGUUCGAGGCCGUUGAGGACACCCCGGCCGGAUUUCCUUGCGGAUGGAACCUGAAUAGGCGAUGACCCUGGACUAGAGACUUGUGAGGUUAGUCAGGUCGUGGUCUACACCCACGUCGGUUUUCGCUUGAAGUCUGCCGAGCACAUUUUGUGUGCAGACGCUAAGUGGUGGAAACAUGUGUGACGAAGUACACCCCUGCAGGGUAUAAAACUAUUCGAAUAGCCGCGUCUGCGGUAAAGGACUACUUGAUUGCAUAUACAGUUCAUAGACAAGUUAAUGGAUACUACUAAAAGACUCAAGAUAAGUGUGAGUACCGAGGAUGGCCCCCUCGCAGGAUACGAGGAAGGAUCCACGGUGGAGUAUUGUGAUGGUGAGUAGUGGACUCGUGUGCGAAAACUAUUUUGCUAAAAGAUUCCGUAGGAUAGCUUAGCCAAGAGUCAAAGCUGGCUUGCUGCAUAAACCCCACCACCUUCUUGAGAAUGAGCAUGUACAGUAGGUUCUGAUGUAAGACUUGCUGAGUACCUUUGUACUCAUGUUUGCUUAAUUAUUGUUUUCAGACGACAACACUGCCCCCUCCGAUGGGUUUUAUGUAGACCUUGACGUCGACGAGUGACUAGCCACCCAGGUGGUGAUCCAGGCCAUGGAGGGCCCUAUGUAGAUAGACAGGCUUCGAGAAGCCUUCUUUCUUUCUAGAGUCUGUACUCAGACUAGUUGCUUCCGCAUGUGCUUGUAUGACUGUAUGACUUGAGUGUCGGGUCAUGUGACCCCUACCUGUAUGGAUAUGUUAUGUAUGGCUCCCUGGAGCCUUUAAAUAAAGUACUUGAGUUGUAGAGUUUUGUUGUGAUGCCAUGUUGUAUGUACUCAUAUCGAGCAUAUUGUAUGUAUGAUUGAAAUGCUUGGUAUGAGUGGGAUCCGACAAUCUAGUUGUUUGCCCUUCGCAGCCUUUCUUAUGGGGAAAUGUAGUCUAGUGCUCCUCGAGCCAUAGUAGUCCGCUACAGCCCGGUUCACCGGAGUCCUGCUAGCCCAGCACUACUAUUCAGGACACCUGACUGGCCGGCAUGUGUUUCACUUCGUCCCUAUGUCUGUCCCUUCGGGGAAAUGUCACGCGGUGAUCCACGGAGUCCUGUCUAACCUGCUACAGCCCGGGAUCCCCCCGAGUCCUGUUAGCCCAGUGCUACAGCCCGGAAUCACUUGUUGAUGACCGACAUGUUCGUUGUGAUUCAUGUAUGCCUGUCUCCAUAGGUCUGUGCCGCUUUGGGUUCACGACUAGCCAUGUCGGCCCGGGUUCUCGGUCAUAUGGAUGCUAGCGACAUUGCCAUAUACGCGAGCCAAAAGGCGCAAACGGUCCCGGGCCAUGGUAAGGCGACACCCGUGGGAUACCGUGCGUGAGGCCGCAAAGUGAUAUGAGGUGUUACCGGCUAGAUCGAUGUGGCUUAGAAUCGGGGUCCUGACAGCGUUGGCAUCAGAGCCGGACUGCCUGUAGGUUCGUUCAGCCAAACUGGUCGAUGUCGAGUCUAGAAAUGCUUUAGUUAUAUGUAAGGGAAUUGAUUGUGGGAGGGAACGUAAGGUUCUUUUACUCCUUUACCCUAUGCUUCUGAUCUGAGUCAUUCUCUUCUCAUUCAACGUGGGUUAAGGACUAGGCUCUCUUCUUCUAUCAGGUUCACGUGUUACUAAUCCGUAGUAGCUCAUAGGAUUAUUGUUACGGGUUCCAGUCCAGUUUCUACUAUUUUAGUACGUUUCUAUUUGAAUCAGAACCUUGAUAUGAUGCUGUUGAGCGGUAUUGUGAACUGUUGUGGAUGUCUCAAAUCUUUUUCUGAGCAUUUACAGCCGUUAUGCUGCCCAAUUUUCCCUAGGAAUUCUGAUGUCUUUGUCUUGUGGCUGUGCUUUCAGAUGGCCAAUCAGUCUCAAAAUCAAGUGGUUCGCCUGACCAGGUGCCUCGACGUGCCCGGUCAUACUGCUAUGUUGGUCCGGGUCAUGAUCGAGACAGGAUACCGUUGGUAUCCCGAAUACACUGUUGAAGAGCAGUUCCGUGACUUUAAUCAAAGCCAGUAUUUAUGCACCGUCGGGAUAUUUCCUUCCUAUCCUGGAUCUACCGAGCCCCUUCACUGUUCCUAUGGACUCGGAGUUACCAUUGAGAUGGCUGUGCAGGAUGCUGCCUAUUCCAUGAUGACCAUCUUGCGAGUCCGGACUGGCCUGCUUCGGAACACUGACUUCCGUUACAUGCCAGCUUCACUUCCAGGAGCGCAGGGGUAUCUUCAGGCUAUCUAUGCUGACUCCACUCAGGAGGACUCAUUAACUCGUACCACCGCUGAGAUGCUCGAAGAUAAGGACCGAGAGAAUUGGGCCUUGAGUCUGGAGCUCUUUAAUACCCGUGCUGAUCAUUGGGCCACAUUGACUCGGUUUGCACCUGCGGUGCAAGCUGGAUGUAUGGAUACCAGGGAUCUGUAUCCUGUGAGAGCAGCUCUGCCAGACAUGGUGGAUUGGCGUGAUGUGGGAGGCAUCACCCCACCCCUUGGUCCCCGCAGGCCACCGUUUGUUGGUCCAAGACCUUAUCCUAGCCCCUAUGGUCCACAGGCUCCUCAGGACCGUCUGUUUCCGGAUGAUCACGUUGAACUUCCAGGCUAUGGAGGUGACUUCUAUGAGGACUACUACGGAGCUAUCUGAGUUAGUAGUAGUACCACUAGUAUUGUAGUAGUUGUAUCUCCACUGUCCUGUGUGACUUGCGGAAUACGACUUGGUGUGUAAUCGAUUCCGGAGGUGUAGACAAAUAAUGUAUAGGGACUCGGACUGCCUCCGAUGAGAUGUAACGUCUACCUUCAUAGUUGUACUGUAGCAUGGGCUUGUACUAAACUAUGUAUGACGAGUAUGACCGUUGGUGUAUAUAUGGCAGUUUUAUAUUACCAUGGCAUACGAAUGAGCAUCUCUGCAUUCCGCGUUAUCCUUUACAUUCUGCACUUCCCUGUUAAGUUUGAGCCAUCCUUGUCUAAACCGUUGUCUUGUUUCCUUCUAGGAUGGUCAACACCCGCGGAAACCCUGCUGCCCCGGAGCAGGGGGAAGCCAAUGCAGCUAGAGGUGAAAAUUUGCCUCACCCGCCUUCCCUGGCCGAAGUGAUGCUGGAGGCGGAAAGGAACAAGCGUGAGACCAACCGCCUGCUGGAGCGGAUUGAGCAGAACACUGCACGCCACCCACGAAAUGAUUUGGUGUCAAUCAACGACUUUAUCAAGCUGUACCCCCCAAAGUUUAACCAUUCCGUCGAGCCCCUCGACACGGAUGAUUGGCUUCGCAGCAUCACCCACAAGCUACGUUCUGCCAACGUAGCUGAAGCCGACAAGGUUACCUAUGCCGCUUAUCAUCUUGAGGGCCCCGCUAGCCAUUGGUGGGAAAACUACGAAGCUAUGCGCCCGGUCGGCCAAAUUACUACCUGGGCUGAGUUCAGCGAGGCUUUCCGUGAGCAUCACAUUCCGGAAGGUCUCAUGGAUCGCAAGAGGGAGGAGUUCUGCAACUUCACCCAAGGAACGCUGACUGUGGAUGCAUAUAGCUGAGAAUUUGGGAACCUGGCACGCUAUGCUCCUGAAGAGGUUUCUACUGACGCCAAGAAGCAGGCAAGGUUCCGAAAGGGACUUAGCCCUGAGCUUCGCCGCGAUCUCCGUCUGCACAAGUGCACAUCCUUCCAGAAGCUGGUCAAUAAAGCUAUUAGUGCUGAGACAGGCCAGACUGAUUAUGACGCUUCACGCAAGCAUUCUCGUGAUUUUGGGUCUUCAUCCGGCUCUGGAGCUCAGAAGCGCCGGGUGUGGAUUCCAAGCACCGCACUGCCACCCAGAUUCACCCCGAGGCCAUCCUUUGAGGCGCCUCGUCCCAACCAGCAAAUUGCACCAUCCAAGCCCUAUGGUGGCCCCGCUGCUAAUGUUGCUCCACGCCCCACUGUGGUAACAUGCUUCAAGUGCGGAGAACCGGGUCACUAUAGUCGAGAGUGUCCCCAGAACAACCCCAAUCAAGCUGGAAAGUCCGUUGGCCGUGGUAAGCCCGCGGGAAAGACUUUCUACGCCAAGCCGGCCACUACUGCACGUGGCCAUGUCAACUAUGUUUCAGCCGAAGAGGCUCAUGAGGAUCCCAACGUCAUCCUUGCUACGCUCCUUGUUAACUGCCAUCCGGCAUCUGUUCUUUUCGAUACUGGAGCAUCUCAUUCAUUCAUAUCCGAGAAUUAUGCUCGGUUGCAUAACACGACAUUCUGUGACAUGCCCACUUCCAUGGUAAUUCAAACUCCGGGUUCCAAAUGGCAAACUUCUAGGGUAAGCCAUGGGAACGAAAUUCUUGUCGAUAGGCUUGUCUUCCUUGCAUCUUUAAUAGCUCUCAAGUCCUCCGACAUAAACAUCAUCUUGGGUAUGGACUGGAUGUCGGCUCAUUACGCCAAGAUCUAUUGUGCCACUAGAACCGUUCAACUUACUCAUCCCUCGGGCAAGACAGUUAAUGUCUUAACUCGAGUGGCCAAGCGCCAACUUUACUCUCUCAAUGCCAACCCUCUUCCAGACCUUGAGGACGUUCCGGUAGUCCGAGACUUCCCGGAUGUGUUUCCGGAAGAACUGCCAGGUGUUCCACCUGACCGGGAUGUCGAGUUUGUGAUAGACCUUGUUCCAGGAACCGUUCCAAUUGCUAGAAGACCCUACAAGAUGGCACCCUUAGAACUAGCCGAGCUUAAGAACCAACUUGAUGAGUCCUUGAACAAAGGGUUCAUCCAUCCUAGCUCCUCUCCUUGGGCUUGCCCCGUCCUCUUCGUCAAGAAGAAGGAUGGAACGGAUCGAAUGGUUGUGGAUUACCGACCUGUCAAUCUGGUCACCAUCAAGAACAAAUACCCGCUUCCCAGGAUCAACGACCUGUAUGAUCAGCUUGCUGGAUCCUCAGUCUUCUCCAAGAUGGAUUUGAGGUUGGGCUACCACCAAAUCAAAAUCAGAAACGGGGACAUUCCCAAAACGGCUUUUGUCACUCGUUAUGGCCAAUACGAGUACACCGUCAUGUCCUUCGGUUUAACCAAUGCCCCGGCCACUUUCUCCCGGUUAAUGAACUCGGUUUUCAUGGAGUACUUGGACAAAUUCGUCGUAGUAUACCUCGAUGACAUACUCAUCUACUCCAAGAAUGAAGAGGAACAUGCUGAACAUCUAAGGCUGGUAUUGAUGAAACUUCGAGAGCAUCGCCUUUAUGCCAAAUUCUCCAAGUGUGAAUUUUGGUUGUCAGAAGUGACCUAUCUAGGCCAUGUAAUCUCUGGUAAGGGUAUUGCUAUCAAUCCCGAGCGAGUUCAAGCCGUCCUUGAUUGGACUCCACCUGAAACGGUCAAGCAAGUUCGGAGUUUCCUUGGCCUAGCGAGCUAUAGCCGCCGCUUCGUCGAGAAUUUCUCCAAGGUUGCUAAACCUCUAACUGAACUCCUCAAGAAAGAUAAAAAGUUCGAGUGGACUCCACAGUGCGAGUUCAGUUUUCAGGAACUGAAAAGACGCCUGACAUCUGCUCCCGUACUGGUACCACCAGAUUUCUCCAAGGACUUUAUUAUCUAUUGCGACGCCUCGCGACAAGGACUAGGUUGCAUACUCAUGCAAGAUCGUCAGGUAAUUGCCUAUGCUUCACGGCAAUUACACCCACAUGAGGAAAAUUAUCCCACACAUGAUCUAGAGCUUGCAGCUGUAGUCCAUGCACUCAAAACCUGGCGACAUUACCUUCUCGGUAAUCGUUGCGAGAUCUUCACCGAUCACCAAAGCUUGAAAUAUAUCUUCACCCAACCAGAUUUGAAUCUCAGGCAAAGAUGUUGGGUCGAGUUGAUCUCGGAUUACGACUUAGGAAUAACUUACACCCCUGGCAAAGCCAAUGUCAUGGCUGAUGCACUAAGUCGUAAGUCCUACUGUAACAACCUGAUGUUACAACAAAGUCAACCACUUCUCCAUGAGGAAUUUCGUAAGCUUAAUCUUCACAUUGUUCCUCAAGGAUUCCUAUCCACCCUGGUGGCGAAACCUACCCUUAUGGAUCAAAUCAUAGCUGCCCAAAAGCGUGAUAAGGGCAUAUCCCGGAUUAAGGAAAACAUUGCUAGCGGAGUAGCUAAAUGUUUUUCCAUGGAUGAGCAAGGUGCUGUCUUCUUUGAGAACCGCCUGGUGGUUCCCAAGAACCAACAUCUACGCCAGAUGAUCCUUAAGGAAGCUCAUGAAUCCCCUCUCACCAUUCAUCCCGGUAGUACUAAAAUGUAUGAAGACCUACGCCAGAGGUUUUGGUGGACUAGGAUGAAGAGAGAAAUUGCUCAAUACAUUGCUAAUUGCGACGUUUGUCGUCGUGUUAAAGCAGAGCAUCAACGGCCUGCUGGCACCCUUCAACCUUUCGCUAUUCCUGAAUGGAAAUGGGACAAAAUCAGUAUGGAUUUCAUCACUGGGUUUCCCAGGACCAAGAGGGGGAAUAAUGCCAUCUUCGUCGUGAUCGACCGUCUUUCCAAAGUAGCCCAUUUUCUACCUGUUCGUGAGAGUAUCACCGCUAGCCAGCUAGCUGACCUAUACAUCUCCCGAAUAGUGUCUCUUCAUGGUGUCCCGUUGGAAAUUAACUCAGACCGUGGAAGUCUCUUCACCUCUCGAUUUUGGGAAAGUUUCCAAAAUGCUAUGGGAACUCAUCUCUCCUUUAGUACCGCUUUCCACCCUCAAUCAAGUGGUCAAGUAGAGCGAGUAAAUCAAAUUCUGGAAGACAUGCUCCGAGCUUCUGUUAUCUCGUUCGGAAUGAGUUGGGAGAAAUGCCUUCCAUUCGCGGAGUUUGCCUACAACAAUAGCUAUCAAGCUAGUUUGGGCAAGGCUCCCUUCGAAGUUCUCUAUGGACGAAAAUGUCGAACGCCUCUUAACUGGUCAGAAACCGGGGAAAGACAACUCUUUGGCCCGGAUAUGAUUCAGGAAGCAGAAGAGCAGGUUCGCGUUAUUCGUGAGAAAUUGAAAACAGCCCAAUCUCGCCAAAAGAGUCAAUAUGAUCGUAAGCAUAAGCCUAUGACAUUUGAAAUUGACGAGAAAGCUUACCUUCGGGUUACCCCGUUAAAGGGAACCCAUCGCUUCGGUAUCAAAGGCAAAUUGGCUCCUCGUUACAUUGGACCCUUUCGCAUUCUUGCCAAACGAGGAGAAGUUGCCUACCAAUUGGAACUACCUCCGCAUCUUUCCAGAGUUCACGAUGUCUUCCAUGUUUCGCAACUCAGGCGUUGCUUCGCGGAUCCUAUCCGUGGAGUGGACCACGAGACGCUUGAUUUACAAGAUAACCUCUCUUAUCGGGAAUACCCCGUUCGUAUCCUUGAUCAAGCCGAGCGUACCACUCGACGUCAUAAUAUCAAGUUUCUCAAGGUUCAAUGGUCACACCAUUCCGAGGAAGAAGCCACUUGGGAAAGGGAGGAUCGUCUUCGACUCGAGUACCCCGCCUUCUUCCCAGAUGAUCCUAAAUCUCGGGACGAGAUUCUAUUGAGUGGGGGUGAGUUGUCACACCCUAGCUAGGUUAUGCAUUAGAGUGUGCAUCAUGUUUACUUUCAUCAGAAAUGGAAAUGGGGAAAGCAGAACCCCCAGCACCCCCCCCCUGAAAUCAACUAGGGUUUACUAAAAAUAAAUUCAAUGAACCUGAAAUGCCCUUCAAAAAUGUUCAUCCUCUUUGCCUUGGGUUAGAACCCUUGGGAAAAAUGGUGCAUAUAAUUUUAGGUCAACAAAAGGGGCAUCGAUUUAAUUCAUAAAUAUUUGAAUUUGGGCAUUUAAAUACUAUUAAAUAAUUCAAAUGCUCAAAUAAUGUUGGAACUAUUUUUUGGGCCACUGAAAUAUUUCAGUAAGUGUCCAUAAAUAUUUUCAGGAUUUUAUAAAAUGAUUUAGUAUUUAAACUAAAUCAAAACAGAAUAACAGAAAUAGAAAAACACAAAAAAA
rnacentral:lncRNA from 1 species